rnacentral:lncRNA from 1 species
CUCCCAGGCACAGAGCUAAAGGGGAAUUGGAGGCUGUGGCGUUCCUCUCUCCGUCCCCCUCUCUCUGGUGACUCGUGAUAAUGAACCGACCUUUUGGAGACAUUCUGUGCCCUCAAUAAAAACGGUCCCUGUCUGGAAACCCCCCGAGGAAACUGACUUCCUCCCCUGCUGCCUGGGCUGCCGUAGCUCUUCCGGCACCUGCUCUUCUGGCACCUGCCCUGUGCUGGCCCCUCCUGCAAGAAUCAGGAGCCCUCAUCUCAGUCCGCGCUGCAGAACCAGCCCAGGAGAGCAGCUGGCCUGUCGUCUGCUGAGGAGCAAAGGUGCGCGGGGACGCGGAGGGGAAGGGGGUCUGGAGUGCUCUGGGGAGACCCUCAGGGACUGCCCUAAUGCUGGCAGCGCCUGGGCCCAGGGCUGAUGGAGGCGUCUCCUGGCCCCCAGGGCUGUGCCCAGGACUGCAAUGGCCUCCCACACCACCUCACAACCCUGGUCCAGGCUCGCUGACAGAUGAGGAAACUGAGGCAGGGACCCUGGUCUCACGGCCAUUGGUGCAGAGCUGGGAUCCAAGACCGGGUGGGCUCUUUGUCAUUGCUUCCUCCGAGGACAAGCCCAGGUUCUCCAGGGUGUGAGGUCCAUGUGUGGCCACAGCAGGCCUUAGAGACAGACAGGCCUGGCGGGGGAGGGGCCGGGCCUGUGCACUGGCAGUGGUGGCACCACGGGGCCCUUGGGGACACCAAGUGAGCUCUUUAAAGUGGCUAAAGUGGUAAACCUUGUGUUUUGUGUAGAUUUUACCAAUUAAAAAAAGGAAAUGUAGGCCGGG